rnacentral:rRNA from 1 species
UACGUAGGUGACCAGCGUUGUCCGGAUUUACUGGGCGUAAAGAGCGCGCAGGCGGUCGUUCAAGUCGAGUGUGAAAGCCCCCGGCUCAACUGGGGAGGGUCACUCGAUACUGAUCGACUUGAAGGCAGGAGAGGGAAGCGGAAUUCCCGGUGUAGAGGUGAAAUGCGUAGAUAUCGGGAGGAACACCAGUGGCGAAGGCGACUUCCUGGCCUGUUCUUGACGCUGAGGCGCGAAAGCUAGGGUAGCAAACGGG